CUGACGACCGCUAUCCAAGAGCCUCCUGCUCCUUGUCUCUCAGCGCUUCCGCCUCUCUCUUCUCUCUUUUUGGGUUCUGCGUGGCUGAGAAAACGAACCACACCUCUCUCUGUUCGUCACAGGCCUUUUUAAAGGCUUAAAUUGGGUUUAAACCUAAUUAGAUUAGAUUUAAAUCUCCUAAACAAGCCAAAUCACGCUCCUGAACCGUCGGAUCGUCAUCGGGAAC
rnacentral:lncRNA from 1 species